rnacentral:rRNA from 1 species
UACACUCCUGCGGGAGGCAGCAGUGGGGAAUAUUGGACAAUGGGCGCAAGCCUGAUCCAGCCAUGCCGCGUGAGUGAUGAAGGCCCUAGGGUUGUAAAGCUCUUUCACCGGAGAAGAUAAUGACGGUAUCCGGAGAAGAAGCCCCGGCUAACUUCGUGCCAGCAGCCGCGGUAAUACGAAGGGGGCUAGCGUUGUUCGGAAUUACUGGGCGUAAAGCGCACGUAGGCGGAUCGAUCAGUCAGGGGUGAAAUCCCAGGGCUCAACCCUGGAACUGCCUUUGAUACUGUCGAUCUGGAGUAUGGAAGAGGUGAGUGGAAUUCCGAGUGUAGAGGUGAAAUUCGUAGAUAUUCGGAGGAACACCAGUGGCGAAGGCGGCUCACUGGUCCAUUACUGACGCUGAGGUGCGAAAGCGUGGGGAGCAAACAGGAUUAGAAACCCUAGUAGUCCCAUG